rnacentral:rRNA from 1 species
UACGGUAGGGCGCAAGCGUUAUCCGGAAUUAUUGGGCGUAAAGAGCUCGUAGGCGGUUUGUCGCGUCUGCCGUGAAAGUCCGGGGCUCAACUCCGGAUCUGCGGUGGGUACGGGCAGACUAGAGUGAUGUAGGGGAGACUGGAAUUCCUGGUGUAGCGGUGAAAUGCGCAGAUAUCAGGAGGAACACCGAUGGCGAAGGCAGGUCUCUGGGCAUUAACUGACGCUGAGGAGCGAAAGCAUGGGGAGCGAAUGGG